rnacentral:lncRNA from 1 species
UUUUAUUUAUUAAUUUUAUUAAAUUAAAAUAAGAUAGUAACUAUAAUUAUUUUUACACUUCAAUUUUGUUAAAGUAGUUUUAUAGAAAGUAAAUCUAAUAAAAAAUAUAUUCUGGUGUAGUGUUGCAAAAAGAUAACCACCUAUAUAAGAAAAAUAAAGCAUCGAUGUUGAAAAAAAAUAAAAAAAUAGUUUCCACACACGUUAUUAAUAAACCCACAUUCUU